GUUUGAUUUUCUGCCUUUCAGUCUGCUUUCCUCUGAGAGUCGACUCUUGCUUGUUUAGGAGUCGACUCGCCAAACGUUGGAGUCGACUCGGUAACAGGGUCCAGAAAACACUUCUCUAUUCUUCUGUCUGUUACUCAUUGGAGUCGACUUGGAACCGUCGGAAGUCGACUCGGUAAGCAUCGGAGUCGACUCAAAACCGUUGGAGUCGACUCGGUGAUAGGGUCUGAAAUUUAUCUUUCUGUCCUUCUGUCUGUUCUCAGUCGAAGUCGACUCGUAGUGUACCGAAGUCGACUCGAGCUCGUGCCAGAACCUCUGAAACACUUAGAGUUGACUCGUACUCUUCCGGAGUCGACUCGAGCUUCAGACUUUGGCUUAAAUUAGUUCAAUACUUAGCCAAAUGACUUUGAACAAAGGCUCGAUGCUAUUAAAGAUAAAUUCACAUAUAUUUGCCUGAAACACUAGAUUGAAUUCAUUAGUACAACUUGAAAUAUACUCAAAUGCUUUGAGCUCAUCAAAAUCAAAUAGGGGUAUAACCAAUUACUCCACAGAUUGAUUCUGUACUCUUAGAAGAAAACUGGGAGUAAUUGACCCCUUUCAAUAAUCAUGCUUUCACUUCCCUCAAUUCAUUCCUUCAUGAUCUGACUUCCAAUCAAAUUGCGCCUUCAUGAUUAUUCUCCAAAGGUAAAAGUCAAUCAAACCAAUUCUAAAACCUUUUGGACUAACCAUUACAAAUGGUUUGAAGAAAAAUAGAUCUCGAGCCGACUCGAGAAGAAUCCGAGUCGACCUACGUGCGAGUCGUCUCUAGCUAUUGCGUGAGACGUCUCCAGGUCGAACUCACAGUGCCCUAUCUUUGCCAAGUUGUCUCAAACUCUAGCGAGAGACGUCUCGAAGGAAAGAUGACAUUGUCGAGUCGUCUCGACCCUUGCGCAAGACGUCUCGAGUUCGAAUCGACGUCUUUUUUAUGUACCCGAGCCGUCUCUUCAUUCAUUUUUUCUGAGCCUUCAACUUGAGUUCCUCUCUGUCCCCGAGCUUAGGAUCAUCUUGUGUUCUCAAAACCCUAGGUUCUCCUCCAAGUCUAACCUAGAUUAGGUCUCCAUGGCUCCCAAGAAAUCCUCCAGCUCACGUGGAAAAUGUCCUAUCGUGGCAAACGAGUUAGAACGACGGUCAAAAGCGAGGAAUGAGCCAAACCCUUCCGGAUCCGUGGCUCCUUCCUCUCCUAGACCAGAGAUCCUUCGCUCGUGCGACACGAGGGCGGUCUCGACUGGUAGAAAGGUC
rnacentral:lncRNA from 1 species